rnacentral:lncRNA from 1 species
AAUGGCGGACCAUGUGCCUCACAAGUGCUGUUCUUGUUUUCUAGUGGAAAGUGUGAUGGAGAAUGCACCUGCAGAGGGAAGGCUGACAUCCUGCUUUCUCUGCUCUGAUGACAAACCAAUAGCUGCAGAUGUGAUGCUAAUCACAUAUGUUGAGUAAAGAAAUUACUGGGAUCUCAGCAAAGGAACACAAUCCUGUGAAGGUGGCUGUAAGAGUGGCCUAACUCUCAAAGAAAAUGCUGGUGAAGAUUCUCUGCCUCUCAGUCAGAGGGUAAGAGGAAGAAGAUGCCCUUCUCCUGCUCAGUGGGGAGGGGGACAUGGACCAGUGACCAGCCCACUGCAUCAAAACCAAAGUGUGUUUUGCUAAAAAGGGGCCUGGAAAGCCCUGUUUGAUUCUGAGUUUGUCAUAGCAAUGAAGCAUUGCUUCAAUAAAAUUUAAAUAUUUUUGACA